rnacentral:rRNA from 1 species
AACGAACGCUGGCGGCAUGCCUAACACAUGCAAGUCGAACGAGACCUUCGGGUCUAGUGGCGCACGGGUGCGUAACGCGUGGGAACCUGCCUUUAGGUUCGGAAUAACUCAGGGAAAUUUGAGCUAAUACCGGAUGAUGUCUUCGGACCAAAGAUUUAUCGCCUUUAGAUGGGCCCGCGUUGGAUUAGCUAGUUGGUGGGGUAAAGGCCUACCAAGGCGACGAUCCAUAGCUGGUCUGAGAGGAUGAUCAGCCACACUGGGACUGAGACACGGCCCAGACUCCUACGGGAGGCAGCAGUGGGGAAUAUUGGACAAUGGGCGAAAGCCUGAUCCAGCAAUGCCGCGUGAGUGAUGAAGGCCUUAGGGUUGUAAAGCUCUUUUACCCGAGAUGAUAAUGACAGUAGCGGGAGAAUAAGCUCCGGCUAACUCCGUG